UGGCUCAGUUGGUAGAGCCUGGUGUUUGCAACGCCAGGGUUGUGGGUUCGAUUCCCAC
rfam:Salmo salar isolate Sally breed double haploid chromosome ssa23, whole genome shotgun sequence.